rnacentral:rRNA from 1 species
AGAGUUUGAUCCUGGCUCAGGAUGAACGCUGGCGGCGUGCUUAACACAUGCAAGUCGAACGAGGUCCAUGGAGCUUGCUCCGGAAGAUCUAGUGGCGAACGGCUGCAUAACACGUGAGAAACCUGCCUCAGUCUCUGGGAUAACAGUUGGAAACGACUGCUAAUACCGGAUGCCGUCACACCAUCACAUGGUGGAGUGACGAAAGAUUUAUCGGAUUGAGAGGGUCUCGCGGCCUAUCAGCUAGUUGGAGAGGUAACGGCUCACCAAGGCAUCGACGGGUAGCUGGUCUGAGAGGAUGAUCAGCCACACUGGGACUGAGACACGGCCCAGACUCCUACGGGAGGCAGCAGUGGGGAAUCUUGCACAAUGGGCGAAAGCCUGAUGCAGCAACGCCGCGUGCGGGAAGAAGGCCCUAGGGUUGUAAACCGCUUUCAGUAGGGAAGAAAAUGACGGUACCUACAGAAGAAGGUGCGGCCAACUACGUGCCAGCAGCCGCGGUGACACGUAGGCACCAAGCGUUAUCCGGAUUUAUUGGGCGUAAAGAGCUCGUAGGCGGUUCGGUAAGUCGGGUGUGAAAACUCUGGGCUCAACCCAGAGAGGCCACCCGAUACUGCUGUGACUAGAGUGCGGUAGGGGAGCGGGGAAUUCCUGGUGUAGCGGUGAAAUGCGCAGAUAUCAGGAGGAACACCAGCGGCGAAGGCGCCGCUCUGGGCCGUAACUGACGCUGAGGAGCGAAAGCAUGGGUAGCAAACAGGAUUAGAUACCCUGGUAGUCCAUGCCGUAAACGUUGGGCACUAGGUGUGGGUCUCACCAACGAGAUCCCCGCCGUCGCUAAGCAUUAAGUGCCCC